rnacentral:tRNA from 1 species
GGGGAUUUAGCUCAGUGGUAGAGCGCUUGCCUGGCAAGUGCAAGGCCCUGGGUUCGGUCCCCAGCUCUG